GACGAACGCUGGCGGCGUGCUUAACACAUGCAAGUCGAGCGGUAAGGCCCUUUCGGGGGUACACGAGCGGCGAACGGGUGAGUAACACGUGGGUGACCUGCCCUCAGCUCUGGGAUAAGCCCGGGAAACUGGGUCUAAUACCGGAUAUGACUCCAUGACGCAUGUUGUGGGGUGGAAAGCCUUGUGCGGCUGAGGAUGGGCCCGCGGCCUAUCAGCUUGUUGGUGGGGUGAUGGCCUACCAAGGCGACGACGGGUAGCCGGCCUGAGAGGGCGACCGGCCACACUGGGACUGAGAUACGGCCCAGACUCCUACGGGAGCAGCAGUGGGGAAUAUUGCACAAUGGGCGGAAGCCUGAUGCAGCGACGCCGCGUGAGGGAUGACGGCCU
rnacentral:rRNA from 1 species